GACGAACCGUGCGAACGUUGUUCGGAAUCACUGGGCUUAAAGGGCGCGUAGGCGGUCUGUCAAGUCAGGGGUGAAAGCCUCCAGCUUAACUGGAGAAGUGCCUUUGAUACUGGCGGACUCGAGUGAGGUAGGGGUAGUGGGAACUUCCGGUGGAGCGGUGAAAUGCGUUGAUAUCGGAAGGAACGCCGGUGGCGAAAGCGCACUACUGGACCUCUUCUGACGCUGAGGCGCGAAAGCCAGGGGAGCAAACGGG
rnacentral:rRNA from 1 species